rnacentral:rRNA from 1 species
AGAGGGGGCAAGCGUUGUUCGGAAUUACUGGGCGUAAAGGGCGCGUAGGCGGCCUUCUAAGUCGAACGUGAAAUCCCCGGGCUCAACCCGGGAACUGCGUCCGAUACUGGAAGGCUUGAAUCCGGGAGAGGGAUGUGGAAUUCCAGGUGUAGCGGUGAAAUGCGUAGAUAUCUGGAGGAACACCGGUGGCGAAGGCGACAUCCUGGACCGGUAUUGACGCUGAGGCGCGAAAGCCAGGGGAGCAAACGGGAUUAGAUACCCCGGUAGUCCUGGCCCUAAACGAUGAAUGCUUGGUGUGGCGGGUAUCGAUCCCUGCCGUGCCGAAGCUAACGCAUUAAGCAUUCCGCCUGGGGAGUACGGUCGCAAGGCUGAA